rnacentral:lncRNA from 1 species
UCUUCCAUCCUCAGCGAUGAAUAACCUUGCUGGUUACUCCGUUGUCUGUUGGGACAAAACUUGGAAAUGUGUCCCGGUUGAUCACAUAUGUAACAUACUCCGGUGUUACUGCGAUAAUUGGUUUGGCCUCCAAAUUUUUGCCCUUUGCCUUUGUUAAACCUUGGACCCUUGUUGAAAUUUGGUCUUCCUCCUUGGCUAAACUUGGUAUGUCCACCAGAAUGCGGUAUGGUCUUCCUUUCAGCCUCCAAUA